UGGGGAAUUUUGGACAAUGGGGGAAACCCUGAUCCAGCCAUUCCGCGUGAGUGAAGAAGGCCUUCGGGUUGUAAAGCUCUUUCAGCAGGAACGAAACGGCAGGCUUUAAUACAGCCUGCUAAUGACUGUACCUGCAGAAGAAGCACCGGCUAACUACGUG
rnacentral:rRNA from 1 species